UCGGAUUGUAGUCUGCAACCCGACUACAUGAAGCUGGAAUCGCUAGUAAUCGCGAAUCAGAAUGUCGCGGUGAAUACGUUCCCGGGUCUUGUACACACCGCCCGUCACACCAUGGGAGUCGGAAAUGCCCGAAGUCAGUGACCCAACCGUAAGGAGGGAGCUGCCGAAGGUGGAGCCGGUAACUGGGGUGAAGUCGUAACAAGGUAAC
rnacentral:rRNA from 1 species